GACGAACGCUGGCGGCGUGCUUAACACAUGCAAGUCGAACGGAAAGACCCUGCUUUUGUGGGGUGCUCGAGUGGCGAACGGGUGAGUAACACGUGAGUAACCUGCCCUUGACUUUGGGAUAACUUCAGGAAACUGGGGCUAAUACCGGAUAGGAGCUCCUGCUGCAUGGUGGGGGUUGGAAAGUUUCGGCGGUUGGGGAUGGACUCGCGGCUUAUCAGCUUGUUGGUGGGGUAGUGGCUUACCAAGGCAUUGACGGGUAGCCGGCCUGAGAGGGUGACCGGCCACAUUGGGACUGAGAUACGGCCCAGACUCCUACGGGAGGCAGCAGUGGGGAAUAUUGUCCAAUGGGCGGAAGCCUGAUGCAGAAACGCCGCGGGCGGGAUGACGGCCUUCGGGUUGUAAACCGCUGUCGCCUGUGACGAAGCGUGAGUGACGGUAAUGGGUAAAGAAGCACCGGCUAACUACGUG
rnacentral:rRNA from 1 species